UAGGAAUAUUGGACAAUGGGCGAAAGCCUGAUCCAGCCAUGCCGCGUGAGUGAAGAAGGCCUUAGGGUUGUAAAGCUCUUUCGGCUGUGAAGAUAAUGACAGUAGCAGAAGAAGAAGCCCCGGCUAAAUUCGUGCCAGCAGCCGCGGUAAUACGAAUGGGGCGAGCGUUGUUCGGAAUCACUGGGCGUAAAGCGUACGCAGGCGGUCAUGAGAGUCAGGAGUGAAAUCCCAGGGCUUAACCCUGGAAUGGCUCUUGAAACUCCAUGACUAGAAUACUGGAGAGGUUGGCGGAAUUCCGAGUGUAGAGGUGAAAUUCGCAGAUAUUCGGAGGAACACCAAUGGCGUAGGCAGCCAACUGGACAGUUAUUGACGCUCAUGUACGAAAGCGUGGGGAUCAAAC
rnacentral:rRNA from 1 species